UAAAAAACUUUUUCUCUUUCUUUUGUUAUUUUUGAAUUCCAUGCUAUUACUACAAUGCAACCCACAAAAAUCCAUGUUGUUGUCAUCUAUCACCCUCCAGGUCAGCUGACAAACUUUCUUGAGGAGUUGGAUGUCCUGCUGUCCUCCUUGCCAGAGGAUGGUAGGCCACUUGUGGUUCUUGGUGAUUUCAACAUACACCAAGACAAGCCCCAGGCCACUGAAUUGAAUACUCUCCUGGCCUCAUUUGACUUGGAAAAACUACACACCACAGCAACUCACAGAUCGGGCAACCAGCUGGACCUCAUCUUUACACGCCAGCACAUGCUACACCACCCAGCCCCUGGCUGUCGGACGUCCUUCGUGAACAUCGGACUGACCUCAGGGCAGCUGAGAGGAGAUGGCGGAAAUUAAAGAUCCAGCAGAUCUAGAACAAGCUGCUGGAUGACAAUCAGUCAGGCUUUAAAAGUGGACACUCCACCGAGACCGCCCUGCUGUCUGUCACUGAGUCGCUGAGAUGAGUGAAAGCUGAAUCCAGAUCAUCAGUCCUGAUUCUGCUGGACCUUUCUGCAGCCUUUGACACAGUCAACCAUCAGAUAUUACUCUCUACCCUUUCCUCGCUGGGCAUCACAGGAACUGUGCUUGACUGGUUUAAUUCCUAUCUCUCAGGUAGGUCCUUCAAGGUAGCCUGGAGAGGUGAGGUAUCCAAGCCACAUCAGCUACUUACUGGGGUACCUCAGGGAUCAGUGCUUGGGCCACUUCUCUUCUCUAUAUACACAACAUCACUGGGAUCCAUCAUUCAAGCACAUGGUUUCUCUUACCACUGUUACGCUGAUGACACGCAACUCUACUUGUCUUUCCAGCCCAAAGACACCACAGUGACUGCUCGAAUUUCUGCCUGCCUGGCAGACAUCUCGGCCUGGAUGAAGGAGCACCACCUGCAACUCAACCCAGCCAAGACUGAACUCCUUGUCUUUCCAGCCAACUCUGAUGUUGAACACAACAUCACCACACAGCUGGGUGCAACUACAGUAACGCCUUCCAAAUCGGUCAGAAAUCUAGGGGUAACCAUCGACAACUGACAAUUUCACAGACCACAUCUCAAAGACCGCAAGAUCAUGUAGAUUUACACUCUACAAUAUCAGGAAGAUAAGACCCUUCCUCUCUGAACAUGCCACACAACUGCUUGUCCAGUCACUUGUCAUAACUAGACUGGACUACUGUAAUGCUCUCAUUGCAGGCCUCCCUGCAUGUGCAACUAGACCCCUCCAAAUGAUCCAGAAUGCAGCAGCACGUCUGGUCUUUAAUGAACCAAAGAGAGCACAUGUUACACCACUCUUUGUCUCUCUCCACUGGCUACCGUUUGAUGCACGUAUCAAAUUCAAGGCUCUGAUGCUGGCAUACAGAACAGUUACUGGGUUUGCUCCAGCAUACCUAAAAUCAUUUAUGCAGAGCUACGCGCCCACUAGAAGUCUGCGGUCGGCUAAGGAACGUCGCCUUGUUGUACCAACACAAAGAGGCACCAAAGCACUUUCCUGGACUUUCAGCUUCAUCAUACCACAUUGGUGGAACGACCUUCCCAACCCCAUCCGUGAAGCUGACUCACUCUCUGUCUUCAAAAAACGACUAAAAACACAUCUUUUCCAUGAGCACUUAA